UACGUAGGGUGCAAGCGUUAAUCGGAAUUACUGGGCGUAAAGCGUGCGCAGGCGGUUUUGUAAGUCAGAUGUGAAAUCCCCGGGCUCAACCUGGGAAUUGCAUCUGUGACUGCAUAGCUAGAGUACGGUAGAGGGGGAUGGAAUUCCGCGUGUAGCAGUGAAAUGCGUAGAUAUGCGGAGGAACACCGAUGGCGAAGGCAAUCCCCUGGACCUGUACUGACGCUCAUGCACGAAAGCGUGGGGAGCAAACAGG
rnacentral:rRNA from 1 species